rnacentral:rRNA from 1 species
GAUGAACGCUGGCGGCGUGCCUAAUACAUGCAAGUCGAGCGAACGGACGAGAAUUUUGCUUCUCUGAUGUUAGCGGCGGACGGGUGAGUAACACGUGGAUAACCUAUCUAUAAGACUGGGAUAACUUCGAGAAACCGGAGCUAAUACCGGAUAAUAUUUUGAACCGCAUGGUUCAAAAGUGAAUGACGGUCUUGCUGUCACUUAUAGAUGGAUCGGCGCUGCAUUAGCUAGUUGGUAAGGGAACGGCUUACUAAGGCAACGAUGCAUAGCCGACCUGAGAGGGUGAGCGGCGACACUGGAACUGAGACACGGUCCAGACUCCGACGGGAGGGGGCAGUAGGGAAGCUGACGAAAUGGGCGAAGGCCUGACGGAGAAACGGCGAGUGAGUGAUGAAGGUGUUCGGAUCGUAGAACUAUGCUACUAGGGAAGAACAGAUGUGUAAGUGACUGUGAACAUCGUGACGGUAGCUGAACAGAAAGCCACGGCUAACUACGUG